AACGAACGUUGGCGGCGUGGAUUAGGCAUGCAAGUCGAACGCGAAUCCCUGGGCAACUGGGGAGGAGAGUGGCGAAAGGGGCAGUAAGGCGUGGGUAACCUACCCUCCGGGCCGGGAUAGCUUCGGGAAACUGAAGGUAAUACCGGGCGACGCAGCGAGAUCGCAUGGUCUUGCUGCCAAAGGUCCGCCGCCGGGGGAGGGGCUCACGUGGUAUUAGCUAGACGGCGGGGUAACGGCCCACCGUGGCAAAGAUGCCUAGCAGGUGUGAGAGCACGACCUGCGCCACUGGCACUGAGACACUGGCCAGAGACCUACGGGUGGCUGCAGUCGAGGAUCUUCGGCAAUGGGCGCAAGCCUGACCGAGCGACGCCGCGUGUGCGAUGAAGGCCUUCGGGUUGUAAAGCACUGUCGAGGGGGAGGAAGCCGCAAGGUUGACCUAUCCCUGGAGGAAGCACGGGCUAAGUUCGUG
rnacentral:rRNA from 1 species